UACGUAGGGUGCGAGCGUUGUCCGGAAUCAUUGGGCGUAAAGCGCGUGUAGGCGGCUGGCUAAGUCCGCUCUGAAAGCCCGGGGCUCAACCCCGGGAGGCGGGUGGAUACUGGUCAGCUCGAGUCCGGAAGAGGAGUGUGGAAUUCCUGGUGUAGCGGUGAAAUGCGCAGAUAUCAGGAGGAACACCGAUGGCGAAGGCAGCUCGCUGGGACGGUACUGACGCUGAGGCGCGAAAGCGUGGGGAGCGAACAGG
rnacentral:rRNA from 1 species